rnacentral:rRNA from 1 species
CCCUUAGAUGUUCUGGGCCGCACGCGCGCUACACUGACGAAUGCAACGAGCUUAUAACCUUGGCCGAAAGGUCUGGGUAAUCUCCAAAUUUCGUCGCGAUGGGGAUAGAUUAUUGCAAUUAUUAAUCUUCAACGAGGAAUGCCUAGUAAGCGCAAGUCAUCAGCUUGCGUUGAUUACGUCCCUGCCCUUUGUACACACCGCCCGUCGCUCCUACCGAUUGAAUGGUCCGGUGAAGCCUCCGGAUUGGCGCGCACCUCGGUGCCGCCGAGAAGUUGGCUAAACCUUACCAUUUAGAGGAAGGUGAAGUCGUAACA